AGCAGCCGCGGUAAUUCCAGCUCCAAUAGCGUAUAUUAAAGUUGUUGCAGUUAAAAAGCUCGUAGUUGAAUUUCGGGAUCAAUACGUCGGUCGUGCUCCGGUACGUACUGGCGUCAUUGAUUUCUCCCUUCUGACGAACCAUGAUGUCAUUAACUUGGUGUCAUGGGAAAUCAGGACUGUUACUUUGAAAAAUUAGAGUGUUUAAAGCAGGCUCACGCUUGAAUACAUUAGCAUGGAAUAAUGAAAUAGGACGUUCGAUCCUAUUUUGUUGGUUUUAGGAUCAACGUAAUGAUUAAUAGGGAUAGUUGGGGGCAUUAGUAUUCAAUUGUCAGAGGUGAAAUUCUUGGAUUUAUUGAAGACUAACUACUGCGAAAGCAUUUGCCGAGGAUGUUUUCAUUAAUCAAGAACGAAAGUUAGGGGAUCGAAGACGAUCAGAUACCGUCGUAGUCU
rnacentral:rRNA from 1 species